rnacentral:rRNA from 1 species
UCGAAUUAUGUUUUCUGGACGGGUUGUAGCUG